AAUCAACGCUGGCGGCGUGCCUCAGACAUGCAAGUCGAACGCGAAAUUUCCCUUCGGGGAGAAAGUAGAGUGGCGCACGGGUGAGUAACACGUAGGUAAUUUGCCUUCGGGUGGGGAGUAACAGCCGGAACGGCUGCUAAUACCGCAUAAUGCAGCGGCUCGACAUCGAGACAGUUGUUAAAGCGGGGAGUCGCAAGACCUCGCGCCUGAAGAGAAGCCU
rnacentral:rRNA from 1 species